rnacentral:rRNA from 1 species
UAUUUGAGUAGUAUUAGUUAUGGUCUUGAAACUUUAAAAAUUUGGCGGUAUUUUAGUCUAUUCAGAGGAACUUGUAAAGUAAUCGAUAAUCCUCGUUGUACCUUUCUUAAAUUUGUUUAUCAAUUUAUAUAUCGUCGUUAUAAGAAUAUUUUUUAAAAAUUAAUAAAUUUUCUUUAAUUUUUAUUAAAAUUUAUAUCAGAUCAAGGUGUAGUUUAUAUUUAAGUUUUUAUGAGUUACAAUAAAUUUAUUUUUUGGAUAUAAGAUUUAAAUAUUUUAUUGAAAUUGGAUUUGAUAGUAAAUUAAUAUA